AGAGUUUGAUUAUGGCUCAGGACGAACGCUGGCGGCGUGCCUAAUACAUGCAAGUCGAGCGAAUCUUCGGGAGCUUGCUCCUGAAGGUUAGCGGCGGACGGGUGAGUAACACGUGGGCAACCUGCCUAUAAGACUGGGAUAACUUCGGGAAACCGGAGCUAAUACCGGAUAAUUCUUUUCUACACAUGUAGAAAAGCUAAAAGACGGUUUACGCUGUCACUUAUAGAUGGGCCCGCGGCGCAUUAGCUAGUUGGUGAGGUAACGGCUCACCAAGGCCACGAUGCGUAGCCGACCUGAGAGGGUGAUCGGCCACACUGGGACUGAGACACGGCCCAGACUCCUACGGGAGGCAGCAGUAGGGAAUCUUCCGCAAUGGACGAAAGUCUGACGGAGCAACGCCGCGUGAGUGAUGAAGGUUUUCGGAUCGUAAAACUCUGUUGUUAGGGAAGAACAAGUAUGAGAGUAACUGCUCGUACCUUGACGGUACCUAACCAGAAAGCCACGGCUAACUACGUGCCAGCAGCCGCGGUAAUACGUAGGUGGCAAGCGUUGUCCGGAAUUAUUGGGCGUAAAGCGCGCGCAGGCGGUCCUUUAAGUCUGAUGUGAAAGCCCACGGCUCAACCGUGGAGGGUCAUUGGAAACUGGGGGACUUGAGUGCAGGAGAGAAGAGUGGAAUUCCACGUGUAGCGGUGAAAUGCGUAGAGAUGUGGAGGAACACCAGUGGCGAAGGCGACUCUUUGGCCUGUAACUGACGCUG
rnacentral:rRNA from 1 species